rnacentral:tRNA from 1 species
GGAGAGAUGGUGUAGUCAGGCCCAACACGCUGGCCCCCACUCAGCCCGAAAGGGUGGACCUGGAUGGUGGUCUUAAAUGAACCCCCAGAAACACGGGUUCAAAUCCCGUUCUCUCCG